rnacentral:rRNA from 1 species
AGGACGAACGCUAGCGGCGUGCCUGAGGUAUGCAAGUCGAACGGCCCGCAAGGGUAGUGGCGAACGGUCGAGUAACUCGUAGACAACCUGCCUUUCAGUGGGGGAUAACAGCUCGAAAGGGCUGCUAAUACCGCAUAGGGCGGCCUGGCGAUGCCAGGCAUGCUAAAGGAGCAAUCCGCUGGGAGAUGGGUCUGCGGCCUAUCAGGUAGUUGGUGGGGUAACGCCUACCAAGCCGACGACGGGUAGCGGGUCUGAGAGGAUGAUCCGCCGGACGGGGACUGAGACACGGCCCCGACUCCGUUCGGGAGGCAGCAAUGAGGAAUAUUGCACAAUGGGGAAACCCUGAUGCAGCGACGCCGCGUGGGUGAGGAAGUCCGUUCGGAUGUAAACGCCCGUUUUCGUCGGGGACGAGUUCCAGACGGUACCCGAGGAAUAACGGCCCCGGACUAACUACGUCGACCAGCAGCCGAC